AAUUCUCAACCUUUCUAGCUAUUUUCUGAAUGCUAGUCUGGCUUGGAUUUAUGGGAGUUGCAGGCUUCUUUUAAAUAAAAAAGAAGUCAGCUCUUCUUAAAUACAUUAGCAGAACUCUUGCUAACAAUCCUUUGGUGUUGAUAAUUAUCUAUACCAUUCGGAGUUGGCUUUGUUUAGCUUUCUAAUAGUCUGUGUGGACAAUGUUUUUGACA
rnacentral:misc_RNA from 1 species